AUAUAUGGAUACGAAUAUUACUAGGCCAAAAAACAAAAAGCUGCGAAGUUUCUUUCAAAUGAGAACAAAAAACCACUUAUUGCCAUAAAGUUAAGUUAAACCGUGGCUAUAAAAAUUAGAUCAUAUUUCACACGCGUGCACGAUCGAUCGUUUCAUUUCAUUUCAUUUCAUUUCAGAGUUUCGUAAUGCCUGGGCAACAAAUUUCAGAAGUUGAUCGAAGAAAAAUCGACGUGAAGUUCCUCUGUUCGAAAUGCGAGCUGUUGCUGAAUGAACCGAUGCAAACCCAAUGUGGACAUCUGUUGUGUAAAAGCUGUCUUCAAGUUAUUUUGAG